GCGCAGUUCCUCUGCUGGUAUUGUUUACUUCGGACGGCGUGAUGGUAGGAUGCAUGCCCGGUCGAGUGCAGCUUUACUCUUAUAUUGCCAGGGCUUGUAAUUUUAUUUGAACUGAUGUUUGUCAUCUUUCUCCUGUGUGAAGUACGUAAAGUAGGAAAUAUUUUGGUUGCACGAAAGGCCGGAUUAGUUGCCAGCAGGCGUGAAUGCAAGCAUAUGGGAUACUAUAGACGUUACGCAUUUACGAGUCCAUCAUUACUACAGAGGUAGCAAGACUUUGCACCGGGAGCUGACAUGAUCAUUGUGCAUGAUGGACACAAUUCAUCAGGCGAUGCGGUUGGGAUGAUCCACAGACACGUGUUGGCAGCCUCUGUUUUUGUGACUUGCAUGUGGAAAUUCAGUAGCUGUUGAUUUAAAUUUGUGUAAGAGCUUAUCACAGUGAAGAAGCUAGAAGUAAGCAGCUAGGGUUACAGGUUGUAAUGUUGGUUAUGUGGCCACCGCAACACAGUUGCACACUUUUGAUUCCUAGUGACCAAAUAUGGGGUGUUCGUAGCAUGCCUCACAAUGCCACAAGGAAGACCUCAGGCCCUCGUGUGAUCUCCUUGCUUUCCGAGGAGGUGUACGGUUAUAGAUUCAGUGUGAGUGCCUUGUCUGUCUGAAAGAGGAGUUUGAGAUCAGGGGAUGUGCUGAGUAGCAACUUUCAUGUGAACUGUAGCUGUAGUGUGUGUGGACUGGUAUCUACGAAGACACGGCAGACCAAUUUGUCUGAAUAUCAGUGUUUCAGAAGAUCAGUUGUGUGCGUGAUGGGGAAGCAGCUUAUUUGGAGUUGGAGAUGUGAAGAACCAGACAGAACGAAGCACCUGGAGCGUUUGUGACUUGGAUAAGGAAGUGCAGUAUUCAGCCGAGUGCCAAAUCUGGCGAACGAUCUGUGAUUAUCAGCUUAGAGGAUGGAUCAGCGAAAUAUUUAUCUGGAUAUAUCAUUAAUGGAAUAAAUCUCUUUCCUGCCACUGGCUACCUUGAAGCAUUCAGUUUACGGUCAUGGUUUAGCAAGCAAGUGGGAGGUUUGAGGUAACGGCAAGUGGUUUGGUGCGAGUACCUGCAAACAUGUCCUAUGAAAUGGUGUUGCUGGAGCCCUCGAUCCCACACAUUAAUGAUGAGUUGCUUGAACUUUCAUCACAGGACAUAUAUAAAGAGUUACGACUACGUGGCUGUGACUACCAAGGACUCUUUCGGGGCUGACAACCAUGGUCAAACGGGAAAGAUUUCGUGGAAAGACGACUGGGUAGCAUUCCUGGACAACUGCAGAUGAAAAUACUUGAGGAAGAAUCGCGACGUCUCCUCGUUCCAACCUAUAUCCAGAAGAUCACAAUAGACGAAGCUGAUGUCCGUGAACUGAACACCAAGAGCCAUGAUGUUGGCGAGUUGGUCCGUUUCAGUUUGAACGAGACUUCAUCUGUACGCGUGCAUGUGUGUACUGAUGGGACGAGAUUGCUUGUGAGUUCUUAGCAUGGAGUGGAGAACUGCAUGCACACCUCCACAAUAUUUCUGUUCCUUUCAAAAACAUUGCCUUGUACGUGGCUGUCUUCAGGGUUGUAGCACCACGUAGUCUGGAAGAAAUUUACCAACAUUAUAGAGGUUCUUGCUGCCUUCAUCAUCAGAGCACUUAUCAUCCUGAUGGGCAGUGGACAAUCAACUGACAGUGCUGUCAGUACAUGUGUAUAAGGAGUUGGAUAUCAUCCAGUCAGCAGGCGUGGAAGUACGAGGACUCCAAACUAAUGCCAUAACUCAAUACAAGUGCCCGACCAAGCCUGUGCUCGAGAAAUACGUGUUCACACCUAAUGUAGAACCUGCACACUGCACUGAGGGUUUGCACACACAUAGCUCUGGAGAACACGAGUGUCACCCAUGUGAAGGUGGUGGAGCUGCACAGUCAAGGCACCACACUUCUGUCACCAGCUGUGAAUCUCAUCAUUGCGGACAUGCCACUUAUAAAAGCAAGUGUAACAAUGUGUGACACAGAGUUACUUAAUUUAUAGUCAGCAUUAUUUAUUAUUUUUAUUUCACUUGAGGUUGAUUGGUCCAUGUCUUGAUAGGAGGAAACAAAGUGGGAUUUCAGCUUUUCCUUUCUAUUGUCUCACCUCCUGACAUUUUUAUGUUGUCUGUACCAUUUCUGUAAUUAUCUCUCUUGUCUUCUUUACUAGUAACUUUGCAUGCUGAACUCCUACUACAUCAUCCUCACAGCCACAGUAUCGUUCUCAUACCAGAAUUUCCACAUCUGUCUGUGAAACACAAUUCUUCUUCUUAUAGGUUUACACAUUUCUUAGAUAUAGCAAUAUAGGUUCACUUGGGUGGCCUCUGUACUACCACUGACCACCCUGUGCAGUACCAUGGCCUAUUAGAAUACAUGACUAAUCCUCUAUCUUAACACUGGCACCACUUUGAGGCGUGCGUUGGGCAAGCAGGAUUUGAACC